UACGUAGGGUGCAAGCGUUGUCCGGAUUUAUUGGGCGUAAAGAGCUCGUAGGCGGCUUGGCAAGUCGGGUGUGAAAACUUCAGGCUCAACCUGGAGAUGCCACCCGAGACUGCUAUGGCUUGAGUCCGGUAGGGGACCACGGAAUUCCUGGUGUAGCGGUGAAAUGCGCAGAUAUCAGGAGGAACACCGGUGGCGAAGGCGGGUCUCUGGGCCGAUGACUGACGCUGAGGAGCGAAAGCGUGGGGAGCGAACAGG
rnacentral:rRNA from 1 species